rnacentral:rRNA from 1 species
CGACGGCUGUACGUCGGAAGCCUCUUUUCAAACUGUGUUGUACGAGGCAGCAGCGGUAGCGGUCCUGGCGGCGGAGCUCGGAACGGGCUCGUGUAGAAACGUGUGGACGUCCGCGCUAUGGAGCUCUGGCUAUUACUGAGCUACUAGCAGAUGGAACAGCUUCUGGGCAACCACAGACGUUUCCUUGGUCUACUGCCUCGGUGACUCUGGCAACGGUGGCGGCGGCUGAUGAUGAUGGGGCUCCCACGGAUUAUGGUGAACUGUCUGUGGCUACUGGUUCUCAUCAAUCCUCCGAGGGUCCAUCCUCCGGAACGGAAAAACUAGCUACAACGAAGACACGAUCGGAAGACUUCCGUUCGAACAAAUUGAGUACAGACAUGAGUCUAUAACAACGAAGGUGACUGAGCAAACAUAAGCUUGACUACAUAAGCUCGGGAGCUCCGGGUACCGAACAUUAUAUUUCGAACAUAAUAAAAUUACACCAAGAUCUCAACACAACACUAUAGAAGG